GAACUAAACAAGGCCUUUGUACAGGUGUACACCACCACACAUGCGCACAGUACUUUACCUACGCUAAUUAUAAUCAACAAAGCUGGUGCUGAUUGUGUGGUUAGCUGUUUUGCAUCCAGCAACACACUUCUCUUCCAGAAAAAAUAAUAAUGUACAUAUACUAUGCUUUUAUAUUAUGUAUAAAUUAACAGCGGAGUACGGUUAUAUUAUCUUAUUAGUGUACGGACUUGAGUUAUAGUACAUGUACUCUUUCCAUUCUAAAUUGCUUUUAUUCCAAAUUGUAAGUUAUUUUGAUUUUUUUUGAGGUACAUAGCUUUUAUCAUGUACCUAGAUCUAGAUAUACAUUGUGUCUAAGGUACAUAGUAGAAAUGUGGGCUUAGGCCUUGUUUAGUUCCUCCCAAAAGCCAAAACUUUUUUAAGAUCUACGUCACAUCGAGUCUUACGACACAUGCUUGGAACAUUAAAUAUAGUUAAAAAAUAACUAAUUACAUAGUUUUUCUGUAAUUUGCGAGACAAAUCUUUUGAGACUAGUUAUUUUAUAAUUGAAUAAUAAUAAUUACCACAUACAAGCGAAAAUGCUACAGUAGCCAACCAAAAUUUCCCCCAACUAAACGAGGCCUUACAAAAAUAAAAUGAAUGAUUUUCAAUAAUUUGGAACAUAGAGUGUUAGAAAACAGCUAGAGUACCUUUCAGGUGGCUAUAUGUUCACGUUGCGUCGCCAAAUGGAUACCGUACGUACCAAUAAUACAUAGCCAUGUAUAAAUAUAAAACUUUGCAUUGUAAUCGUACAUACUGUAGUACAUAUCUGUGUGAAGCCGCCGUAUAGCUGUGCCAAAAAUGACAUUAUAUUGACCUGUUCGGUGUUACCGUUAGCUAGAGUGGAUCAAGUUUGGGGGGUCAGCUGCAUACAGCUCUCUUGUACUACCUCUGUAGGAGUAUCAAUCAAUCAGGUGCGGUGCGGAUCGAGCCAGCCAGCCCCCUAUUUGCCCGGGGCACCGGACGGCCACAGCGGACGCAACACGGCAGGAGGCCGCACGGGAUCCGGACCCACUCCCCCCUACUCCUCCUGUCUUCCAGCCCCGGUCUCCCCUGCAGUCCCCACCGCCUGCGCCUGCGAAAGAUCCCUCCCCCCCACGCUGAUUCGCUCGCCGCCCCGUCCCCUCCCCUCCCCUGCAGGAGCCCCGCCUCCUAUAUAGGGGGUGUGUGCGGCCGCGGCAGCCUGCGCUCGUGGUGUGCCGUGUGCGACAGUCGCCAGCCUGCCCUCCCCGCCUGCUGCCGGCCCGCGCCUGCCCGAAGCCGAGCGCCGGGACGCCGAGGAGAGGCCAGAGGAGAGGCCGGAACGAUGGAGGACAAGGCGUCCAACCUGGACGCCGUGCUCAAGGAGGCCGUCGAUCUCGUACGCGCCAACUCUCUCAUCCUCCUCUCUCUCUCCCUCCACGUUUUGCUUGCCUUUUCCUGCUCUCGCGGUUGCUUCUUGGGCUAUCGUGCCGUCCGUGGGUGCCCGGCGCGGCGCGGCGCCGGCGCGCUGCUGCUGCUGCUGCUUCCCCAGUUCGUGGCGUGCGUGCAUCCCUCGUUCCGCGGAGUUUUCUUGGUGUGAGGCGGAUGUGUGGGGUUUUGCCGUUUUGGUGCCCUGCCGGCUGUCGCUGGCGGUGAACUAGUACCACUCCCUCUUCUUCCUUCCCGUUCGUGCCCCCCCUCCCCGCCUCGAUCUCGUCGGCGGGACUCCCUGAUCUUGUCGGCGGCCGCGCUUUGCCCCCCUCCACCCACUGGGCACUGCUCGAUUCGGCGCUCUGAUUGCGUGAUCUCGCGCUGCGGUUACGCUCGACGCGGCCCAGGUUCUCUCGGUUCUUCUUAGUUCUUCCCAGUUGCUCCACUCCGCUGGUUACUUUUGUUGUUUUUUUUUUCUCCCUUUCCUGCCCCGUUCUUUCUGCUUUUAUUUCUUUUUGUGUGGUUUUCAACGCACCAAUUCUUUAUCUUCUUGGGCGGUUCUUGUCUGUUGACUGAUGAUCCCUCUGCCGCCGCGAUGCUGUUCUUGCGCCCGCGCAGGAGAACAUACCGAUCGAGGAGGUGUUCGAGAACCUGCGAUGCAGCCCGCAGGGUCUCUCCACGGAGCAGGCCGAGCAGCGCCUCGCCAUCUUCGGGCCCAACAAGCUGGAGGAGAAGCAGGUAAAAGGAAUCCGCCCGCCUCUCCCUUGGCCUUUCAUGCGUUUCUGUUCCUGGUGGUCCGCUUACAUGAUGGAUGUGCCUGCAGGAGAGCAAGAUCUUCAAGUUCUUGGGAUUCAUGUGGAACCCGCUGUCCUGGGUCAUGGAGGCGGCCGCCAUCAUGGCCAUCGCGCUCGCGAACGGGGGAGUAAGUACUGAAAUUUCACAUCGUGUGGGCAUGGCAGAGGCGUUCUGGAGACUGGCUUCAGAGGUUUUGAUGUGUUUUCUCUGUUUUUUUCUUCUUUUUUCAGAACAAGCCGCCCGACUGGCAGGACUUCGUGGGGAUCAUUACUCUGCUCAUCAUCAACUCCACAAUCAGCUUCAUUGAGGAGAACAAUGCGGGCAAUGCUGCCGCCGCUCUCAUGGCGCGCCUCGCCCCCAAGGCCAAGGUACUGACAGGAUCUUGUUUGCAGCGUUGUGUUGUUUUUCUGGAGGGUGUGCUGAUUUCUGUUUCGCCGUGAUAAAGGUUCUCAGAAAUGGCCGGUGGACCGAGGAGGAAUCGGCAAUCCUUGUGCCAGGGGACAUCAUCAGUGUGAAGCUUGGGGAUAUCAUUCCGGCUGACGCUCGUCUGCUUGAAGGGGAUCCACUGAAAAUUGAUCAGGUAAUGCAAACUGAAGCUGCUCCCCUCUGUAUGUGGAUUUUUUUGGGUUGAUGUUAAACUGUGCUUCUCCUGACUUUUGAGUUGCUCGCAGUCUGCACUCACCGGCGAGUCCCUUCCGGUGACCAAAGGCCCUGGUGAUGGAGUGUACUCUGGUUCCACUUGCAAACAGGGUGAGAUUGAGGCCGUUGUCAUUGCCACUGGUGUGCACACAUUCUUUGGCAAGGCAGCACAUCUUGUCGAUUCAACAAACCAAGUUGGUCAUUUCCAGAAGGCAAGCUUCUAAUCCUGCUUUUCUGAACUUGCUUACUUUCUUCAUUUGCAAAUUUAUGACGUGACCAAGGACGUCUGUUGUUUCACUAUAUACAGGUUCUCACUGCCAUUGGGAACUUUUGCAUCUGUUCAAUUGCUGUGGGAAUGGUCGUGGAGCUUAUCGUCAUGUACCCUAUCCAACACAGGGGUUACAGACCAGGAAUUGACAACCUGUUGGUGCUUCUGAUUGGAGGAAUUCCAAUUGCCAUGCCCACUGUCCUUUCUGUGACUAUGGCAAUUGGGGCUCAUCGCUUGGCUCAACAGGUAUGAACUUGUCAAUUGGGAAAAUUUUGAUCUUUGUUUCUCAUAUAUCUAAUGUAGGAAUUGAAUACUGAAGUUGUGCUUGGUGGUUUAGGGAGCAAUUACUAAGAGAAUGACAGCAAUUGAAGAAAUGGCUGGCAUGGAUGUUCUUUGCAGUGACAAGACUGGGACAUUAACCUUGAACAAGUUGACUGUGGACAAGAGUCUUGUAGAGGUAGGCUGUUGUUACUAGAAGUUCAAUUUCCUUUCUGUUUAUGGAUCAUUGCAGCCUAACCUGAUCGUUAACUGGUCAGGUUUUCCAAAAAGGCAUUGACCAAGAUACAGUAAUUCUGAUGGCUGCCAGAGCUUCUCGUACAGAAAACCAGGAUGCCAUAGAUGCCACAAUAGUUGGUAUGCUGGCUGAUCCGAAGGAGGUACCCAGAUUCCUCAGGAGUUUGUGAUGUGCAGGCUGCAGCUAAUUUUACUUUUACUCUAACUAUUUCUCUUUUUUCUGCUUGUUUGACAAAAGGCUCGUGCUGGUGUUCGAGAGAUUCAUUUUCUGCCAUUUAAUCCAACUGACAAAAGAACUGCUUUAACCUACCUUGAUGGUGAGGGAAGAAUGCAUCGUGUUAGCAAGGGAGCACCAGAGCAGGUACUGUUUUCCUAAGCACAUAUUGGGAACUCUACAAUUGUGACAAUGAUUUCAAUUAUUAAUAGUGGAAGUUAAACAGAUCCUUCAUCUUGCACACAACAAGUCGGAUAUUGAAAGAAGGGUCAGAGCUGUGAUUGACAAAUUUGCUGAACGUGGUUUGCGAGCACUUGGUGUAGCUUACCAGGUUUGUGAUCCCUGACAUGCACUAUUGCUACUCUCUACAAGGUCUAGGUACUUGACUGACAAAAUUCAUGUACAGGAAGUGCCAGAUGGUAGGAAAGAGAGUCCUGGAGGACCAUGGCAAUUCAUUGGGCUCUUGCCACUUUUCGACCCCCCUCGCCAUGAUAGUGCAGAAACUAUCAGAAGGGCACUCCAUCUUGGUGUUAAUGUCAAGAUGAUUACAGGUUUGUCAUAUUCGUUCCUGUCCACCUUGAGUUUAUUCCUCUAAUCUGAAGUUUCAUCCUCUGAUUCCUUGUUAGCUUGUUGAUAGCAAUAUGUUUCCAGAUUUGGCUAGUGCUACUGAACCACUUUACUGUAAUACUGACUCGGUUUUUCUCCCCUCAGGUGAUCAGCUUGCUAUUGGGAAGGAAACAGCACGUCGUUUGGGAAUGGGUACUAAUAUGUACCCUUCAUCUGCUUUACUCGGACAGAAUAAGGAUGAGUCAAUUGCUUCUUUACCAAUUGAUGAAUUGAUCGAGAAGGCUGAUGGCUUUGCUGGAGUCUUUCCAGGUACAAAUAUGCAGAUUACCUGUUUUUUAUUACUCUUGUUUGAUAGGCUCAACAGUUCUUCAGCAUCUAUAUGCAGUACUUAUGUCUAAUUAAUUUUUUUAUUAUUGCUUGAUAGAACACAAUGUCUAAUUCAUUUUUUUAUUAUUGCUUGAUAGAACACAAGUAUGAGAUCGUGAAACGCUUGCAAGCAAGAAAACAUAUAUGUGGUAUGACUGGGGAUGGUGUAAAUGAUGCCCCAGCUUUGAAGAAGGCUGAUAUCGGUAUUGCAGUAGCAGACUCCACCGACGCAGCUCGUAGUGCUUCUGACAUUGUCCUAACUGAACCAGGCCUUAGUGUGAUUAUUAGUGCUGUGCUGACGAGUCGGGCAAUUUUCCAAAGGAUGAAGAAUUACACAGUACGUCAAUUCUGCAGUUCCUUUUUGAGUCUCUUAGUGUUCCAUUGUGUGCAGUUUUUUUCAAAGUUUAUUCUUGCUUGCAGAUCUAUGCUGUAUCAAUUACCAUCCGUAUUGUGGUAUGUACCUGUACUUAAUUUUUAGAAAAUAAUGCUUGGUUGACUAAUUGGACAAAUAGUUUCUGACCCCUAGAUACUUUUGUUGUAACAGCUUGGUUUUAUGCUUCUUGCUCUGAUAUGGAAGUUUGACUUCCCACCAUUUAUGGUCCUGAUCAUUGCCAUCCUCAAUGAUGGUAAGCAUCCUUUUAGUUGGUUAAUAUAAUUCAUGAUGAGUUAAAUAUGAAGUUAAUCUUUAAUUUGUUCUGUUUAUAUCUACACUCCUUUAGUCAGUGUCAGUAUCAUAUUAGGUUACCUAACAACUUCAACCUCUUGACAUGGAUAGGUACCAUUAUGACUAUCUCAAAGGACAGAGUAAAACCAUCUCCACAACCUGAUAGUUGGAAGUUAGCUGAGAUUUUUGCAACUGGAGUUGUCCUUGGUGGUUAUUUGGCCAUGAUGACUGUCAUUUUCUUCUGGGCAGCGUACAAGACUGACUUCUUCCCGGUAUGGACCAGUAAUUUGUUAAGCAUUAUUGAAGUUUUUGAGGGACCGUUGCAGUUUGUUCAUCCUUAUCAUGGUUGUCAAUUUGCAGCGACUGUUCCAUGUUGAAAGCCUUGAGAAGACUGCCCAGGAUGAUUUUCAGAAGCUUGCGUCCGCUGUGUACCUUCAAGUUAGCACAAUCAGCCAGGCCCUUAUCUUUGUGACACGGUCUCGCAGCUGGUCAUUUGUGGAGCGCCCUGGGUUCUUGCUUGUCUUUGCUUUCUUGGUGGCGCAGCUGGUGAGUCAUCUGAAUCCAGUUUCAUGCCUUACUGCCAUGUUGUCUUUCUGUGUCUCGUCUUGCUCACAUUGUGUCAUGUUUUGCAGAUUGCUACUCUGAUCGCUGUAUAUGCCAACUGGGCAUUUGCUUCGAUCAAGGGCAUUGGAUGGGGCUGGGCCGGUGUCAUCUGGCUCUACAACCUCGUCUUCUACUUCCCGCUGGAUAUCAUCAAGUUUCUCAUCCGUUAUGCGCUGAGUGGGAGAGCAUGGAAUCUCGUCCUUGAGCAGAGGGUAAGAACACACACAUAAGAGAAUGAUUGUUGACUUCCAAUGUUCAGUUUUCUGACUGUCAAAAAUGCGCACUCAUCUGUGCUUGUUGUUGCCUGCCAAAUGUGUGUUAAUCAUCUGUUUUGCUGGCAUACACAUUUAGAUUGCAUUCACAAGCAAGAAGAAUUUCGGUACGGAAGAAAGGGAGCGCAAGUGGGCGCACGCUCAGAGGACUCUCCAUGGCCUCCAGCCACCUGAGGCAUCCAUCUUCGAGAACAAGACGACCUUCAACGAACUGAACCAGCUCGCGGAAGAGGCCCGUAGGAGAGCCGAGAUGGCGAGGUACAUGCUAUUUCAGAGCUUCUGGAUAUCCCAUCUAGCCCAAGUGUAGAUUUCUCGAGCGUUUCCACUGAAUGUGACAAACCUGACUUGCCCUGCCCCCGUCUGAUUUUGUUACAGGUUGCGAGAAGUGAGCACCCUGAAGGGGAAGAUGGAGUCGGUGGUGAAGCAGAAGGGUUUGGACAUUGAGACCAUCCAGCAGUCCUACACCGUGUGACUGACGGAUCAUACAGGCACGAUUAUAGAGGCGGUUUCUUCUUACUAUAUAUAUAUGUGGUUAGGGGAGCAAUAAUAAGGAUUAAGGAACCAACCCUACAUAUGACUGGUUCGCGAGGAUGAUGAUGAUAUAUUUACGAUGCCGGUGUGGUGCUCUGUCGCCAACACACCAUAGCCGCCCUCACUCACCCCUAUAUGCUGUGCAUUAUUAACCACCCCCGGCAGGCAUUGAGAUUGAGAUGAGAGAUAUAUGCUCUGUUGUAGCCCUUAGUAGACGAUGUUGAUGAUACAAUACAUUUUUGCUUGUUAUUAUAUCUAUUAUUAGCCUUUGCUCCCUGGUUCUGGUUCUGCUCUGCGUGUUUUGAUGCUGCUGCUGGUUUUGUUGUUCCUGAUUUCCUAAAUCUGAUGAAGUGGUAGCAAUAGAACUGCAUAUCUGCAUAGGCAUGUGCCAUGAGCUUAGCAUGUGCGGUGUUACCGUUGCAGCAUGGGCAGCAUCAGUUGCUCACAUGCCCCAGAGAUGGUGUCAUGGUGUUGGGUGUGGUUUGUGAGGCCGCUAUGGUCGCAGUUGAAUUGAAUUCAUGGCAUGAGAGGGUGUCGGGGUGUGAUCUGCUCGCCUAGUUGUUAAAAAAUGGCCUGAUGCUAUCUGGUCCUGGUGAACCAUGUGCAAGUCCUUGCUCAUAAUGGCCGUCCAGCAUCGUUGCCUACUUGCCUUGUUGGGUAUCGACAGGCACAGUACGGCCGCCUGCCGCGUCACAGGUUGGAUGGCGGGACGACGGUUCCUGCACAACGUGGCCGGCUAGUGUCAGAGAUUCAGUGACCGAUCCCGUGGAAACCCCAUGGGCCGGGCCAGGCAUAAGCAAACUCUGGAAAAAAUCUACUUUUUCUCCCUCAACUUUCAUAAAAGUCUACUUUUACUCCUUUAAUUUCAAAACCAGACAAAUUACCUCAACUUUUCAAACCGUACAUUCUACCUUCCUGGAGCCGUUUCGAAGGCAGUUUUGCUAUAGUAAACAGUGGUUUUGCUAUAGGAACGGUGGUUUUGUCUUUUUGUUUUUUUUAUUAUUCCGACUGAAUAUUUGGAAAACCAUAGUAAAUCAUAUAAAUAUCAUAAAAUAAAAAAUCCAAUUUUAUUGGACUCCACACAAGUAGAUCUACACAAUGAACAUAUAAUAUGAUAUAUUAUAUUAUAUGUUUACUAUGUAGAUAUACUUAUAUGGAAAAAUCAUAAAAUAGAAAAUACAUAUAAUUUAUUUUGCUGUUUAUAUGUUUAUAUAUGUUUACUAUGUAGAAAAAUCAUAAAAUAGAAAAUACAUAUGAUUAUUUUGUCAGACUAAAACAUACAUAUAUUAUAUGUUCAUUUUUUUGUCGGACUAAAGCAUAUCAUUAUAUGUUUACUAUGUAGAUAUACUUAUGUGGAGUCUAAAAAAAAAUAGAUUUUAUAUUUUAUGAUUUUUUCUAUGAUUUACUAUGAUUUUUUAAAGAUUCAGCCAAAAUAAUUAAAAAAAGACAAAAACACCAUUACUAUAGCAAACCAAUAUUUACUAUAGUAAAAUCGCUUUCAUAACCGCUAUAGGGAGGUAAAAUGCACGGUUUGUAAAGUUAAGGGAGGUGAUUUGCCAGAUUUUGGAAUUGAGGGAGGAAAACAGACUUUCGUGAAAGUUGGGUAAGAAAAGUAGACUUUUUUCCAGCAAACUCCAAUGUGUGGAAUACUCACCGACGGCCAGCCCAUGGAGCAAAUGUCGCAAGGAAGCCCAAGUCAGCAGCUAGGCCUGGAUGGGUCGCCGCGGCUGUUCUUCCAGCCUGCCAGUGCCCAGGCUCACAGGCCUGGACCAUACCUGGCCCAUAUGCCCCUGCGAGGCCCGGAGAAUAAUAAUAAUAAUAAUAAUAAUAAUAAUAAUAAUAAUAAUAAUAAUAAUAAUAAUAAUAAACACGCCAAAAUCUCCCAACGCGCGCUGCCGUCCACACAACACAACCACACGCUGCCCACCAUAUCCUCUCUACUCCCACUCCCCGUCCAAAACCUCUCCACCAACCCCGCCCCCCCCCCCCCCCCCCCCCCCGGCCGGGACACCGGCGCGCACCAUGCGCCGCGCCACGCCCACGCCUCGCCUCCUCGUCGUCGCACCAUGCCGCCCCUCGCCGCGCCAGCCUCCUCCAUCCCCGCCGCCCCGCCGCAGGGCACCUCUACCGACGCCCGCUCCGCCGUCAACCUCCUGCGCUCCCUCGCGCGCGCGCGGCGCGCGGACCUGUCCCACCGCGCGCUGCUCCUCUUCCGCACGCUCCACGCCUCCGACACCCCGCCGCCGCCGCGGUACUCCCUCCCGCCCGCGCUCUCCGCGGCCGCCUUCCUCGCCGCGCUCCCGGAGGGCCGCCAGCUGCACGCGCUGGCCGCCAAGCUCGCGCUCCUCGCGCCCGCGCACAACAACACCGUCGUCGUCGUCGUCGCCAACUCGCUCGUCCACCUCUACGCCUCCUGCGGCCGCCCGGACGCCGCGCUCGCCGUCUUCCGCGGGGUCCCGGACCGCGACAGGUCGCUCGUGUCGUGGAACACCGCCGUCGACGCGCUCGCGGGCAACGGGGACCACCUCGCGGCGCUCGACCUGUUCCGGGAGAUGCAGCGCGACAGGCCCGACCUCGCGCCCGACGCAUACACGCUGCAGAGCGUGCUCGGUGCCUGCGCCGCCGCCGGCGCGCUCUCGCUUGGGCUCUACGCGCACGCGCUGCUGCUCCGGGAGCUCGGCGCCGACGCGUCGGCGGCGGUGUCGCGCGACGUGCUCAUCAACAACUCGCUCGUCGACCUCUACGGCAAGUGCGGCGCGGUGGAGCUCGCGCGCCAGGUGUUCGACCGGAUGCCCGAGCGGGACCUCGCGUCCUGGAACGCUAUGGUCCUCGCGCUCGCCAACCACGGUCGCGUCCGGGACUCGCUCGACCUGUUCGACAGGAUGACGAGGGUGGAGAACGUGAGGCCAAAUGCGAUCACCUUCGUCGCGGUGCUCAGUGCCUGCAACUACGGUGGGCUGGUGGAGGAAGGCAGGAGGUACUUUGCUGCCAUGGUCAGCGAGUACGGGAUCAGGCCGAGGAUCGAGCACUACGGGUGCUUGGUCGACAUCCUUGCGCGGGCGGGGUUCAUUGAGGAGGCCCUUGAUGUCGUGGCUGGGAUGAACUGCCGGCCAGAUUCCAUCAUCUGGAGGAGCCUGCUCGAUGCAUGCUGCAAGAGGAAUGCUGGGCUGGAGCUCAGUGAGGCAAUGGCCAAGCUCGCGCUUGAUGUCCCUGAUGAUGCUGUGAGCGGCGUCUACGUCCUGCUCUCGAGGGUCUAUGCAUCCGCGCAGCGGUGGAAUGAUGUGGGCAUGAUCCGGCGGUUGAUGAGCGAAGAGGGUUUCAAGAAGGAGCCCGGGUUCAGCUCCAUUGAAAUGGAUGGAUCGGUGCACCAGUUUGUCGCGGGUGACACUUCGCAUCCUCAGUCGGAAGAGAUAUACGAGAAGCUGGAUGAGAUUCAGCAGAGGCUCACGUCUGCUGGAUACAAGCCGGACUUAUCGGAGGCGCCUAUGGUCGCCGACAUCGAUCGCACCAAGGGCGCCACCCUGCGUUUGCACAGCGAACGGCUAGCCAUAUCCUUUGGUCUGCUGAACGUGACACCCGGGGCACCCAUCCGGAUUCUGAAGAACCUUAGAGUGUGCAAAGACUGCCACACCAUCAGCAAGCUCAUAUCAAAGCUAUACGAUGUAGAAAUCAUUGUGAGGGAUCGAAUUCGGUUUCAUCACUUCAAGGGUGGAUCAUGUUCUUGCAAAGAUUACUGGUGAUCCUUGAGCUAUGAUGACCCGUGAUGCUAUCUGGACAAAUAUUCUGAAGAGAUCAUUCUUGUGAGGGAUCGGAUUCAAUUCCAUCAAUUCAAGGAUGGAUCAUGUUCUUGCAAAGACUACUGGUGAUCCUUGAACCAUGAUGACCUGUGAUGCUGUCUGGAGGUGAGUGCCAUUUUAAGUGCUGACGGCUACAGUGACCUUCAUCUUUAAGCCGGGAGAAAAAUGACCGGUUGUUGUUUAGUAAGUUGUGAAUUAAAUGGUUUUGUUCACCAUGUUACUGAUUAUAGAAGCUCAUUUGAGCGUUUUUCUUUGAUCUAACGUAGUAACUCGAACUCAAUGUAUUCCAGUGGAUCAGUUCUUCACACGCAUUGCAAUUUGAAAUCUUGCCAAUCCAAGAAUUGCUAGUCACCUGUAUUGUUGGCAUAUCUGGGAUUGACGAAUUCGUCCGACGACAGAUAUGCCGUGUUGUCCCCACGCUCCACUCCCCAGCACUAUUUUGCUAGCUGUUGCAACAUUAGUGUCCUGAGCAGAGCAGUGUCCUCAUCCUCACUUAGGUGUGUACUCAACAUCCACUGUGUGCACAAUAAUCGGACUCCUAACCUGACGCACACCAUCAGACCACACGACAGCAGCCGACACGAACUCGUUGGCAUCCGGCAGGGCUCCGGAGACCGUCACGGUGAAAGACACCUUCUGAAGCAGCCUGCUGAACGCCAGCCUCCUCGGCUUGACGGCGACUCUGAUGUAUGGCCCCAAGCCAGCGAUCUUGGCGGUGUACACGGAGCCCGGCGCCCCGACGUUGGUGACGGUGCGCGGGAAGUGGACGGUGAAGUUCUUACCCGGCUUGGCGAGGUGCGCCAUCGUCGGGUAGUUGAGGUCGGCGGCGCUGCCGCUGCCGCUGGUCGCCGCGGCAUGGCAGGCCGUGGCGUCGGAGCCGGUGACGGCGCGGAGCUGCGUGGAGUUGUACCCCUCCGCGCACAGCAUGCGGACGUAGUCGUCCUCGCGCGCGUCGUAGACGAGGCCCGGGUCGUGCGCCCGCGACGGGUUCAGCUGCCCGGCGCCGUAGACGAGCUCGCCGCCGCCCGGGUUGCGCGACGGGUCCAUCGGCGUAGCUUCACGCAGGCAUGUCCAAUGGAUUAUUUACUUCUCUUGGAAGGAUCACUAGUACGUGCAUUGUUGAAUUCGAUGCAAGAUAUAUACCUGUUGUGAUGAGAGCUGACAUGAUCAUCGCCGGCGACCAGUCGGGGUGGAAGGACUUGAUGUACGCCGCGACGCCGGUGGCGUGGGGGCACGCCAUGGACGUGCCUGAGAUGAUGCUGUACGGCGCGAACCUGUUGUCCUUGAGGUUGCCCGACACCGGCGACAGCGGCGUCCAUGCUGCCAGGAUGUCGAUCCCCGGCGCAGACAGGUCGGGCUGCAGGUUAAUUUCAGGGGUAAACAAAACGUCACGUAUGGAUGACCUACACAACACCAUCAUCAGUAUUGGUCUUUGUUGAUUGUGAUUUACUAGUCGAUGUUAACAACCUUGAGAAUCCCUGGACUGAUCAAGUUUGGCCCUCUAGAUGAGAAGGAGGCGACGAUGGGCGCCUUGGAGUCGAAGGCCGUCUCGGUGCUGCGUAUCGUGCCCACAGGGUUGCUGCAGAAACAUAGCAAAGCAAGCAUUGUUCAGCACACAUAGCAACAAAUGCCACAGAAUCUUCGUUCUUGUUGCCUGAGGGAAUCGAUCGAGCUAAGUCGUCGCACCGUGUCUUGUUGAAGUAUGCCAUGAUUUUGGUGAAUUGGUCCGUACUAAUCGUCAGGGCAGGGAGGGGCAGCAGGAAGGCGACGUCGUGAGCGCCGCUGACGAUGACUGCGCCGGCGGCGCCAGCAGCGAGAGGGCCCGUGCCGUCACUUCCACUCGCGCAGAGAAGGAUCUUUCCCCUGUAUGAUUGUCCGGCCAGUAAUUCCGGUUUGCAGGAGCUGCAAUGCAGACAGAGUUCAUGGUAAAUUGGAGUUACUGAACCAUUGUCCAUUAACAGAAACACUGCUUCAUACAAGCUGUUUUUGGAUUAAUUAAUUAUGUACCCGUUGAUGUUCAUCGGCAGGACGAGCGGGGCUUUCUUUAGAUCAGGGAAGAUGUUAACGGAGGCUCCCUGUGCCACACAAGAACAUGAUCACCAUCGCAAAGAAUUUCAUGUUACGCAACGAUUUCCCAAAAGGAUCAAAUCGGUGCAUGGUGUACAGAGGCUCACCACAAUGGUCUUGCCGUUGCCGAGGACAAGCUUGCCGACGAGUCGACGAUCGGUGCUGCUCGCGGCGACGGACAGCAUCCAUGGCGCGACAUUGUCGACGCGGCCGCCGUCGAGCGCGGAGUUGCCGGCCGCGGCGGAGGUGAGCACCCUGCGCCUCAUGGCGUGGAACGCCCCGAUGGCCGGCGCGUCCUCGAAGUAGGGCGCCGGGAGCUUUCCCCCGAUGGAGAAGGAGAUGAGGUCGACGCCGUCGGCGACGGCGUCGUCGAACGCGGCCAGCAUGUCCUCGCUGCGGCAGAAGUCGUCCCAGCACACCUUGUAGACGGCGAGCCUGGCGCCCGGCACCGCGCCGCGCGCCGAGCCGGCGGCCAGGCCGCCGAGGUCGACGCCCUCCACCACACGCCCGCCCACCGUCGACGCCGUGUGGGUGCCGUGGCCGGCGGUGUCCACCGCCGACAGGGUCGUGUAGCCUCGCCUGUACGCGCGGGCGCCGAUGAUCUUGCUGUCAAGUGUCAAGAGUAUCAUUUUGUGUCAAGCAACCAGCAGUGGCACACGAUAAGAGCACGACGCGGUGGCGAACGUACUUGUUGCAGGUGAAGUUGUGGCAGACGCCCUUCCACCGGCUCGGCGGCGGGCCGAAGCCCUCGUCGGAGAAGGACGGGGAGUCCGGCCACACGCCGGUGUCGAUCAUGCCGACGAUGACCUCCGCCUCCGUGGGCAGGCUCCGGGGGGCCGUCUCGGGGAAGCCGAGGAAGUCCCAUGAUCUGGUGGUCUGGAGGUGGUACGUCCGGCUUGGGAAGACGGACACCACGCCCUCCUUGCUUGACAGCUUCCGCUUCUCCUCCUCGGUCAGCCUGGCCGCGAAUCCAUUGAUGCUCCUCGUGUAGCUGUAGAUGAUCCUGUCCAUAGCGUCGCUGCAGAAUGCCACGCAGAAGCCGUCAGGGUUUUUUUUUGUUUUUUUUUUUGUUUUUGCAGUACUGCCUUGUUGUCUGACUCUAGCUAGAGCCGUUUGAUGUUUACACAUAAAGAAAUUUAUUUCAGAAUUGAAAUUUAUUUCUACCCAAAGGAUUUUUUUUACCCAUUUGGAUCCUUAGAAUUGAAGUCCAUUCUAAUAAUUAUAAUUUAUAUGCACAAAUAAAUUAAGUUAAUAUUAUUGUGUUCGGAACAUAUCUAUAUACUAUUGUUUAAUAAAAUGAAAACUAACUCGAUUAUGCAGGUAAUUUUCAGAGGAGCAUAUUGGUUACGCUCUUGGGCCCAGCUACAGCGUGACGAGACAGCCAAGGACGCCCUCUCAAUGAUGAGCAAGAAAUUAGAAAUAAUUGCUUUAGAGAUUUCCAAUAGGAGUUGGAACAUUUAUACUGUUUGCUUUAGCGUCCUGGUCAAUUUAUAAGACUAUGACUUUUACUGUGAUUCUCUCAAACUCUGUAAUAAUUGGCUGUGUACAUCUCUAGAUGUAGAGGCCGGAUAUUUGUUUAUCCAUUAUCUAAAAAAAUAUGAGGGAAUUCCCAUAUGAGAGAGGUAUUUAUGUGCUGUUGUAGAAUUACAAGUCGAAGGGUUGUUGCUACAAUGACGUUUCCAACAAGGUAGCUUAGAGCUGGCUUCGUGCUGACAUGGAGAAGAGAGACACCAAAAGCCGCUCGCUAGAGAGAUAACAAAAUCUAGUCUUGCAAGAGACCCGACGCUCACCCUCUCACAGCUUGUGUUAGUAGGCUUUGAUGUCGUAUUUGUUUUUUUUUCUUGCUUGUCUCUCUUACAUGUCAGCUGGCUCUUCGAAAAGGCUGUUGCAUAUGCUCUAAGUUGUAGAGUAGAAAUAUAUCAUGGUGCUUUAUAGAAUCAAUUUUCAUUUCUCAUUCUAUGACUUUAAGAUAGACUUAUAUCUGACCAUUGGAAAGUUGUCGAAUGUUAAUUUCCAAGCCAAAUAACCUAAUCUAUUAAAUAGCUUUCAUUUCCACUAAAAUGAGAGGAUCCAAAUGCCCCCUAAAUGUUUCUACGUUUGCAACUGUUAGGAAACUAAAGAGUAAUGUUCAAUUGAACCUCUAAAAAGCUGUCGCUAUUUCGACAACACUCUCGAACUUAAAAUAAUCCAUUGGUUCCUUAGAUGGUUUUGUUGACGUGGUGGUGGGUCUAGGUCAGAUGGUAUCUGCCUUUAUGUUAUUUAAAGUUAUAUUUUUUGUGUGAAGUUUGAUAUAUACAAACUUUAUAUCAGAAUGUUAGAGCUCAAUGUUAUCUAAAACUUUAUAUUUGCCAACUUUUUAUUUAUAAUAUUUUAGAGGCUCAAAUAUUCAUUCCAUGUUAUUAGAUUUUGAAAUUCAAAAUUUUGAAUUUUUGGAAUGGCCCAUGAUAUUGAAAUGGUAUAUAAAGUUGUAGAUGUCAAUGGUAGACACAACUUGUUUUUGACAUUUUUUUAUCUUUGAUAAUUUAAAGGCUCAAAUGUUCAUUUUUAAGUUAUCAGAUUUUAAAAUUCAAUUUUGAACUUCUUUGAAACGAUCUUGGAUUUGGACAUAGUCUAUAACAAAAUUAUAGCUCUCAACUUGAUAUAUAUACAACUUUGUUGUUGCAACCUUUUUUAUCUGAGAUCAUUUGGAGGCUCAAAUGUUUUUUUAUGUUCUUGAUUUUGAAAUCCAAUGUGUUUUGAAUUUUUCAAAUGACCUUGGAUGCCGACAUGCUAGAUACCAAAGUUGUAGCUCCAAAUGCAACUUACAACUUUGUAGUUGAUACAAUUUUUAUAUGAAAUCUUUUAGAGACCCAAAUAUUUAUUUAAAUUUCUCACAUUUUAAGAUUCUUUUUUGCUAAUUUUUGAAAUGUCCUUGGACAUUGUUGAAAACAUCUUUACUUGAGACCAUGUAGAUGUCCAAAUAUUCAUUUUCAAACGAUCACUGGUGGAGAUACGUACGCUCUACGCCGAAUUUGUAUUGCUUGAAGAGAUCUAGAACUUUCUACUUGAUUUUGUUUUUCCAUUUAAGACCAUUUAAGACCCCAAAUAUUCAAUAUAAGAUGGCACAGUCAAAUAUAUGUGGCUUAUCAGUUAUCACUGGGAAUGAAUGGCCUGACCUGCCAUCGUCGAGGACCUUGUUGAGCAGGCCGUGAUGAGCAGCUUUUGCUGCAGAGAAGCCACCAGCCAGUAACUCUGACGGCUCAUGCUGAUGACCCAUGUACACGAUGUACACCUGCACAAGUACAUACACAUUAUAUAUAAGUUCUUGCUCCAUCGAUCAGGAGCUCGAUGCAUUCGCACGAUCGAGUUGAUGAUCGCACGGACUAGAUCUCAGGGAUCGUCGUACUGACCUGCUGCGGCCCUUCAUCGCCAUGGCUGCUGACCUCUGAAGCAUGCGAGCUGCCGAGGAAGAAGCAGCAGACAGCAAGAACGCAUAGGGAGAGUGCCUUGAACACGGUGCUCAUAUUCCAAAUUCGGCAGUAUACGCGUGGAUGCUGGAUUGGAUGUGCACGCGUGUGGGGCUUUUUUUGUAUGCCACAUGCGUAGAACCGGUCGUGAGGUUCCUUGGAUAAAUCGACUCAUACACUCCCCGUCCACGUAAUGGUUUAGGAUCUCUGCAUAUCUACCUCGUUUUCACCGCAGUGUUUUGUUUCAUUGUCUGAGUCUGACGGUGAGUUCGGGGACACUAGAGUGGAUCAUUCCUCGCUUGGUUUAUAAUUUCGACGUUUUGCUGAAAUGGAAUGGUCAAACAAAACAUUCUUUUAAUGAUUCAGAACAUAGGCCAACUUGUGCACUGAUUAAGAAGAUAGGAGAACUACAUGUGUAAGCAGUGCCAAUAGCUUUCCAGGAUUGACAGACUGUCGAGCUGGGCAAACAAAUGUAGAGAUACCUUGCAUUAGGUUUGUUAUGACGAUAUUAUAUGAUAUAGUCUCACCUCUUUUCUCUUCCAGGUUUACCUGAUGUGUUCGGCUAUUAUUAGUCGAUUUUGUUGUACUUAUACCUGUUCUAAGCAAUGUGUGUGUGUAGCCAAGCUAUGCAGUAAUAUUUUUUAAUUAGUCUCAUCCAAUCUUCUAUAUGUUCUUCUUUCUAAUUUCUUCAUGCAUGUCCUUCUUCACUUUUCUAUAUUUUUCUCUUCUCCUGCCUGUCAACCUCGUGCUAUCUCUCAUUCUGUAUUGGGUCAUCACACCCGUACAAAUGCAUGCCCAUGCAUGUAUAUGCUGUCAUGCAGCAAAAGCUGUAGUUUCUCCAUCCAAAAAGAAUGUAAAUCUCGAAAAAAAAAAUCUUAAAUUUGAUUUAAGUUUGUAAGUUGUGCCAUACAGGGCGCCCAGCAGUUGGACACUUGGAUGAGCGCCAAGCCCCCCUGCGUUGUUUCGUGCACAAGGCUACGGAGCAAGCAAUGGCAAUAAUGCACGCUGCAAGCUGAUGCACGCCUGCUCACAUCCUAUAUAUCGUGAGUUGCACACACAUAUGUAUUGCCCACACGAGUGUUCGUUUCGUUCCUGGAGCAGCGCGCUGCACCAAGGCUUCCAACACCGUGUCGGAUACCAUAUAUAUGCAUGGCUCGUCCCAGAACACAGCCGCGCUAGCUGCUUCUCCUCGUCCUCACUGUCGUCUUCGCCGCGAGCCUGAGCGCGUUCUGAAUCCAUCAGGGACGGAGGCAAAGAUAGAGAUCAUCGAUUCAUCGGCAAUUCAUGCAUGCAUGGUCUGCAUGGAUCUACGAAGUUUUAUCUCAUCUACUCCCUCCAUCCCAAAUUUGUAAACCGUUUGACUUUUUUAACCUAAGUUUGACCACUCAUCUUAUUUAAAAGAUUUGUGUAAAUAUAGUCAAAUUUAAAUUAUUCUUAAAGAAUUUUUAUUAAUAAACCAAUACAAGAUAAAAAAGUAAUAUUUUGUACAAAUUUUCGAAUAAAACGAAUGAUCAAAUUUGAUAUAAAAAAGUCAAACAACUUACAAUUUGGAAUGGAUUAAGUAUUUAAUUGAUGGUGAUCAUAUAAGCAAGCAGGUCUACAUCGUGUACCUGGGGCACCUACCUAGCACGGAUGCGUCGUCAGAGCCUGAAGGUUCCUCUGCUGUAGAGUUUACUCAUCACGACCUGCUGAACCAGGUCCUGGACGAUAUAUAUAAUCCCCAAUGAUGCAUGCAGCCACUCCGAUGAACACACCGCCGGGAAACUCCAACACGACCGCGCUCAAGUACGGCGCCGGCGGGGAAUAAUAACUUCUCCGUGGUCUUCCCGCGCACUGCCACCUAGGUCGGGGCUGCGGCCGCCGUGUAUAUAUGACGUGAUGGUCGUGUUUGAGGCAUAGUUAUUAG
rnacentral:lncRNA from 1 species